rnacentral:rRNA from 1 species
AAGUGACGCGGUAGAGGAGCGUUCUGUAAGCCUGUGAAGGUGAGUUGAGAAGCUUGCUGGAGGUAUCAGAAGUGCGAAUGCUGACAUGAGUAACGACAAUGGGUGUGAAAAACACCCACGCCGAAAGACCAAGGGUUCCUGCGCAACGUUAAUCGACGCAGGGUUAGUCGGUUCCUAAGGCGAGGCUGAAAAGCGUAGUCGAUGGGAAACAGGUUAAUAUUCCUGUACUUCUGGUUACUGCGAUGGAGGGACGGAGAAGGCUAGGCCAGCUUGGCGUUGGUUGUCCAAGUUUAAGGUGGUAGGCUGAAAUCUUAGGUAAAUCCGGGGUUUCAAGGCCGAGAGCUGAUGACGAGUCGUCUUUUAGAUGACGAAGUGGUUGAUGCCAUGCUUCCAAGAAAAGCUUCUAAGCUUCAGGUAACCAGGAACCGUACCCCAAACCGACACAGGUGGUCGGGUAGAGAAUACCAAGGCGCUUGAGAGAACUCGGGUGAAGGAACUAGGCAAAAUGGCACCGUAACUUCGGGAGAAGGUG